UUCCUGAAAAUAUUUCUGAAUAUUUUCAGACUACAGUUGACUGAAGGUAACUGAAACCAUAGACAGCAAAACCAUGGAUAAAGGAGGACUACUGUAAUGCUGAUUCAGGAGACCUGGAGCAGAGGGCCUACGUUACCCAAGUCAAAAUGGAACAAAUGGCCAACAGGCCAUCAAGGGAGCAGGAAAAUAUACCCUACUUCUAUGAGACCAUGGCAAGGGUAUAGAUGCAUAAUACCACUAGAUUCACUGGCUGAAAUCUGGGCCUCAUUCCUGGAGAGAGUCCUGACUGGAAGAAGCCACUGAAACUCUGCUUAGAACUCCACCUCUGGGUCACUGCUGUCAGAUCAAGAAGAUGAGGUCACAUUUUUCUAAGAUCUCUUAGCUCAAGUGGCUUUAGGUUAAAUGAUAAUUUUUUUAAGUAACACUUAUGUGGUUACUAUGAGACGCUGUGUACAAGAACUAUGUGACAAUAGUUUCAUUAUCACAUUUUGCAUGAAUUUAGUGAAGAAACUAGCCCAAAGUCCCAAAACUACUGAGUUGCAGCCAGAAGGUGAACUUAGGCAUUCUGACUCGCAUGGU